GAUGAAGAACGCAGCGAAAUGCGAUAAGUAGUGUGAAUUGCAGAAUUCAGUGAAUCAUCGAAUCUUUGAACGCACAUUGCGCCCCUUGGUAUUCCAUGGGGCAUACCUGUUCGAGCGUCAUUUGUACCUUCAAGCUUUGCUUGGUGUUGGGUGUUUGUCCUGAGGGACUCGCCUUAAAGUAAUUGGCAGCCAGUGUUUGGUUUUGAAGCGCAGCACAAGUCGCGAUUCAAAGCUAUACGCCCGCUUCCACAAGCCUUUUUCACUUUUGACCUCGGAUCAGGUAGGGAUACCCGCUGAACUUAAGCAUAUCAAUAAGCGGAGGA
rnacentral:misc_RNA from 1 species